AUUGAACGCUGGCGGCAGGCCUAACACAUGCAAGUCGAGCGGAGCGGCGGACGGGUGAGUAAUGCCUAGGAAUCUGCCUGGUAGUGGGGGAUAACGUCCGGAAACGGGCGCUAAUACCGCAUACUAUCAGAUGAGCCUAGGUCGGAUGAGCUAGUUGGUGGGGGAAAGGCCUACCAAGGGGACGAUCCCUAACUGGUCUGAGAGGAUGAUCAGGCACACUGGAACUGAGACACGGGCCAGACUCAUACGAGAGGCAGCAGUGGGGAAUAUUGGACAAUGGGCGAAAGCCUGAACCAGCCAUGACGCGUGGGUGAAGAAGUUCUUCGGAUUGGAAAGCACUUUAAGUUGGGAGGCGUUACCAACAGAAUAAGCACAUGCUAACUUCGUGCCAGCAGCCGCGGUAAUAC
rnacentral:rRNA from 1 species